GAUGAACGCUAGCGGCAGGCCUAAUACAUGCAAGUCGAGGGGUAGAGAAGAGCUUGCUUUUCUUGAGACCGGCGCACGGGUGCGUAACGCGUAUGCAACCUACCUUUAUCAGGGGGAUAGCCUCUCGAAAGAGAGAUUAACACCGCAUAAAAACACAGUACGGCAUCGUACAAUGUUCAAAUAUUUAUAGGAUAAAGAUGGGCAUGCGUGACAUUAGCUAGUUGGUGAGGUAAGGGCUCACCAAGGCGACGAUGUCUAGGGGAUCUGAGAGGAUGACCCCCCACACUGGUACUGAGACACGGACCAGACUCCUACGGGAGGCAGCAGUAAGGAAUAUUGGUCAAUGGGGGCAACCCUGAACCAGCCAUGCCGCGUGCAGGAAGACGGCCCUACGGGUUGUAAACUGCUUUUAUACGGGAAUAAACCCCUUUACGUGUAAAGGGUUGAAUGUACUGUAAGAAUAAGGAUCGGCUAACUCUGUGCCAGCCGCCGCGGUAACAC
rnacentral:rRNA from 1 species